GAUGAAGAACGUAGCGAAAUGCGAUAAGUAAUGUGAAUUGCAGAAUUCAGUGAAUCAUCGAAUCUUUGAACGCACAUUGCGCCCCCUGGUAUUCCGGGGGGCAUGCCUGUCCGAGCGUCAUUACAACCCUCAAGCACAGCUUGGUGUUGGGCCCCGCCGCCCCGGCGGGCCCUAAAGUCAGUGGCGGUGCCGUCCGGCUCCGAGCGUAGUAAUUCUUCUCGCUCUGGAGGUCCGGUCGUGUGCUCGCCAGCAACCCCCAAUUUUUUUCAGGUUGACCUCGGAUCAGGUAGGGAUACCCGCUGAACUUAAGCAUAUCGAUAAGCGGAGGA
rnacentral:misc_RNA from 1 species